rnacentral:rRNA from 1 species
CCUACGGGAGGCAGCAGUGAGGAAUAUUGGUCAAUGGACGAGAGUCUGAACCAGCCAAGUAGCGUGAAGGAUGACUGCCCUAUGGGUUGUAAACUUCUUUUAUAAAGGAAUAAAACGAGGCACGUGUGCCCUUUUGCAUGUACUUUAUGAAUAAGGAACGGCUAACUCCGUGCCAGCAGCCGCGGUAAUACGGAGGAUCCGAGCGUUAUCCGGAUUUAUUGGGUUUAAAGGGAGCGUAGAUGGGUUGUUAAGUCAGUUGUGAAAGUUUGCGGCUCAACCGUAAAAUUGCAAUUGAUACUGGCAGUCUUGAGUACAGUUGAGGUAGGCGGAAUUCGUGGUGUAGCGGUGAAAUGCUUAGAUAUCACGAAGAACCCCGAUUGCGAAGGCAGCUUACUAAACUGUGACUGACAUUGAUGCUCGAAAGUGUGGGUAUCAAACAGGAUUAGAUACCCCAGUAGUC